UCUCCGUAGGUGAACCUGCGGAGGGAUCAUUACAGAGUUCAUGCCCUACGGGGUAGAUCUCCCACCCUAUGUUAUUAUUACUUUGUUGCUUCGGCGGGGCGCUAAGCCCCGGCCCGGCUACCGACCCCGGCUUGUAAGCGCCCGUCAGAGGACCCAAAACCCUGAAUAUUAGUGUCGACUGAGUACUAUAUAAUAGUUAAAACUUUCAGCAACGGAUCUCUUGGUUCUG
rnacentral:misc_RNA from 1 species